rnacentral:rRNA from 1 species
UACGUAGGGGGCAAGCGUUAUCCGGAUUUACUGGGUGUAAAGGGGGCGCAGACGGCAGCGCAAGCCAGGAGUGAAAGCCCGGGGCCCAACCCCGGGACUGCUCUUGGAACUGCGCGGCUGGAGUGCAGGAGGGGCAGGCGGAAUUCCUGGUGUAGCGGUGAAAUGCGUAGAUAUCAGGAGGAACACCAGUGGCGAAGGCGGUCUGCUGGACAGCAACUGACGCUGAGGCGCGAAAGCGUGGGGAGCAAACAGG